GACCUUUCGAAUUUCCUUCUCCCUCUCCAGUUUUUUAUUGUAAUUAUGGUGGAAUCACUGAUUGACUCUUAGGGUAAUUCUGUCACUUGAAUGAAUCUGAAAAUAAGACUAAGUGAGAAUUGUCAGUGAAAAUGGAGUUAGGAAGAAAAACUUUUUAAAUAAGGUGUAUGUUAGAAAGCCACAUUAACCAAAUAUGUGUAUAUGUGUGAUUCAUGUAUACUGUACUGGCUGUGAUAGUGAGUAUUAAUUACCAAUCUUGUACAUCUUCUCCUCCCUUCAAAUUCUUUCUGUUUGAACUAUUCCUGUCUAGAUUUAGCCUUUGAUGCUCACUAAUUCUUUCUGUGUUUAAUGGAGGUUUUAUUUUGUAAUUACUUUCUUUAAUGAAGUACAGUUCUUCUUUACAUACAUUGUCCACGUUGUCUCAUUGUGUUUCAGUAUUCUGUAUUCCGGAUUUCUUUCUAAAUGUGUUGAAAAUGUCAGAAUUGCUUAGCUAAUGUUACUCUUUUGGUUUCCUCCUCAUUUCUAAUGUUCUCAUUUUCUUCUAUUUCUCGCAUUUCUUAAGCCCUGAUUUGGAGAUCUCUAAACUGCAUAAUGCUAAUCCUAAUUGUGGGACUAUAAAUAGAAUUCUUUUAAAGUAUUUCUUCACAUAUAAUUUUUCUUUUUAUCAGAGAUUAGGAAUUUUUGGUGUGUGUGUUUCAAAAAGUUCUGCCUUCUAUUUCUCUCCCUAUCAUUGAUAAUUAUUAUUGUGUAGAUGUUACUGUUCUGGUUAGUGUUAUGAUAU
rnacentral:lncRNA from 1 species